rnacentral:lncRNA from 1 species
AAUAGCAGAGGUCCUCUCACAGGUCAUUGUGAGGAUGAAAGGAGAGGAAAUACAAGCAACACUUAGCACAGUGCCUGGCACACGGGAUGGUCAUGAUCAAGGUUGGCCAUUAUUUGAGCCUCUCUGGGGACUUUUGGAUCAAAUCCGUGCCACUCCUUUGCCUUGUAGAUCAACUCCAUUUCACUGGACUUAUCACCACUGCUUGUGUCUUUGCAGAAAUGUAGCUUCCUCGUCAGAAAGUCCCUUGUGGCUCUGCCUUGACCGUACACUUCUAAACGUUUUCUUUGAUGAUUCAAAGGGGAACACAGAGAAUCUAUGACCAGAUGUCUGACUGAAGAGGAAACUGAGGCUUGGUUCCCAUACCCAAGGCCUUCCAGCUAGUAGAUGGUUGAGACAAGAUUCAAAGGCAGAGGACAUAUGACUCAAGACCAUGCUUCACCCAUGAGCCACCUUGAAUGACAGAACUGCCAGGUAUGUGAUUCAAGUUUGGUCUGGGGAUCUUAUGGAGGUUCGCAGGCCACUGAAGACCCAGGUGUUUUCCAAGAGGCUGGCUUUGAUUCAUUACCACAUUCAUUUGUGCAGCCAGGAUUAACUGAGAAACUACAUGUGCCAGGUGCCAUUCAAAGCAGGAGAUUUAGGGUGAACCAGCUAGAAAUAGUCUCUGCCCUUGUGGGGCUCACAGUCUAGCAGGAGAGACCAAUGAUAAAUAAUGAUUCCGGGGGAGUCCAGGUUGUAAGAGAUGUUACAGAGGACUCAGCAAUCACCACACACCCUGGGGCUUCACCUGGCUGGACUCAGCCCCUGGCAGGGGAAAUCCACUACCUUCUUUGGAGUGAAAUAAUACACACAGAUGCUUGGCAAUAUGCCUGGUACAUAGCAAAUGCUCGAUGUUCACUGUAAUAAUAACAAAAAAUAUCCCCACUCUGACUUGCAUCAUUGACUUCUUGGACCCAGCAGGAUGACUUUGCUCUUAUUUCUGUUAAACUUGACUUCAUUAGAUUUAGCAUGUAGCUUGGCACACUCGCAGCCCCUCCAAAGCAAAGACCCUCUCCCCUUACUGUGGGGAUUAGCCGGGAGAGAUUUGUUUUGGAUCUGAGUUCUCAUGGUUCCACUGGUUCAAGCCUCCUUUACUCUUGAGCUUGUUUAAGGACUCAGCCUGAGCCUCCAGCAUUUAUCUGCACUUAGGCACCGACUGCUCCAAGGAUUUGCUCUGAUUCAUCCAAAUGUGGUCCUGGCCCCAGAUCUGUGGAGCCUGGAAAUGCCAUUUGCAACAAAAGGUUGAAACAAAUAUCCCUUUGGAAGGAAAAGGAAUACCUUAAACAAACUAAGUUAACUCUGAUACAACCCUUGCUCUACUUAGAUACCUCCCGUGUGAACAUAUGUUAUUGAGUUGCUUCAAACUACAGAUGCCCAGUAGAUGCUCUGCUGAACCCAUGGUCCCAUUGCCCAGACGCAGAGACUGGGCCCACUGAGGGAUAUGCUCAGUGGAGCCACAGGGGAAGCCUAAGUUCUGUCCUGACAGGUGAUGGAUUCACUCUUGGUCACAGCAGCUCCAUCUGCCCUGAGAUGGAAAUCUCAUCAGGCGGGUUUUCCUCUGAGUCCUGUGUCUUUCCUGCACUGGUACUUGCAGGGGACACUAUAGAAACAGCCUCUCAUGAAGGUGUUUCGUAGUUUCUGCUUUCUGGCCUCACUCUGGGCCAGGAAACGCUGAGAAGACAAAUGCUGCUGGGGCUUGUCUUGGGUGGGAACGUUUUUUA